rnacentral:lncRNA from 1 species
CUUCAUAAGCUUCCCUUGAAGGCAGUGUUGGCUGCCCCAUCUCUAUAACACAAGGGUUACUGAUAAUGGUAUAGGGCUGUUGUACUACUGUAAGGUAGACACUUGUAAUUCUAAAGAACUGAAGAAUAGAGCUGUCGUAGAUACAUUUGGAAUAACAAGUAGCAUUAGGGAAGGAAGGUGGUUCCCUCAGUACAGCGCCAGAGCCAGUGUUGUAGGGAUUACAGGGUAUUCGGGUGGGCGCAGAAGAGGGAAGCCACCGAGGUCGCAGCCCCAGGGAGGCAUGAGCAGCACCUAAGAACUUGACUCAGUAGCGUAUCUUGUUACUAGGACUGUGGAAAG